AGUGGGGAAUUUUGGACAAUGGGCGCAAGCCUGAUCCAGCAAUGCCGCGUGAGUGAAGAAGGCCUUCGGGUUGUAAAGCUCUUUUGUCAGGGAAGAAACGGUGGGGGCUAAUAUCCUCCACUAAUGACGGUACCUGAAGAAUAAGCACCGGCUAACUACGUGCCAGCAGCCGCGGUAAUACGUAGGGUGCAAGCGUUAAUCGGAAUUACUGGGCGUAAAGCGUGCGCAGGCGGUUUUGUAAGUCUGUCGUGAAAUCCCCGGGCUCAACCUGGGAAUUGCGAUGGAGACUGCAAGGCUAGAAUCUGGCAGAGGGGGGUAGAAUUCCACGUGUAGCAGUGAAAUGCGUAGAGAUGUGGAGGAACACCGAUGGCGAAGGCAGCCCCCUGGGUCAAGAUUGACGCUCAUGCACGAAAGCGUGGGGAGCAAA
rnacentral:rRNA from 1 species